UUCUCAAUCGUCAGUACAAGAAAACUGCUUAUUAGUGACCAAGAUUUAGCGAUGGGUUAAAACUCUGGUCUCUGAAUGUAUACUUUCAGGGAUGAGAUUUUGUUUCUUGUCUGUAAAACACUUUUUUAUUUUCUAAAUAAAUAAAUGGUCUCCAAAAAACUUAAAACCUGGUCCCAAAAACAAAUAUUUCAUAGGGAUCUAUAGGUGCAAACCUAUUAAAAGUGAAAUAGCUCCAAAAAGUUCCCUCUCGCUCUAAAAUCCCUGAGCGGCAACUUUCAUCAAUCAGAAUGCUAAAACUCAUCUCUCUCAACCCCUGUUGUCUACCAUUGGAAUAAUCAGGCUUAGUAAUCAAGAGUAAGUUUAAUUUCUUUCUCUUCUUUUAUCUGAUUCAUGCCCUUCAUCUUCAUCAUUUUUUUUUUUGCGAUGGAAACCAGAAAAUUUAUGUUUCUAUUGGUCUUCUGCAAUUAAGUACUGAUUGUUGUUAUGUAAGGUCUAAAAAUGAGAGUAUUGGGUUUAAAUCUAGGGCUCGGGGGUUAAGGAGGAGAAACUUGAGUGUUUAUUGUAGGAUUUCGUCUAUGUGAUUUGUUGUCGAUGUUUGCGUUUUUCCUGUGUGUAUAUAAAAAAUUACCCAUUAUUUGAUCUUUAACAGGGAGAAAGAGGAGUGUUGAAUGCUUGCAGAUUAAAAUAUGUGUUUGCCUUCUUUUAGUUUGGGUUUCUUCCCAAGUUUUACACUAUAACAUGAAUCAUUUGAGAAAUGACUUUGUGGGUUGCUUCUAUGAGUGCAUAGUUUUACUUCUAUUAAGUUAUAUGUCUAAGCUGGUUUGUGUUGUUUUCUUCUAUUUUUAGCCCAACUCUUACUUUUAAUUUGUAGCUUUCUUGUGUGGGUAUAUUUUAGUCUUCCAUUUUAGUGAAGUUAUAAAAUGUGUGUCUUUGUGUAAGUCUGUUGUGUUUGGCCAAUACAUUACUUCUGCUUUGAGCAUUAUACUAUAGACUCAGUUUUGAUUGAAAAUUUUAGUUUUGAUGAAGUGCAAUUCUUGCUCUGUCACUGCAUAAAUAAAGCCUACUAUUUGUUUUUUUUGUAUAUGCUGAAGAAAAUUAUUAUUUCCGUGUUGUGCAUUCCGGUAGGUUGUUUUAGUUCUCCUUAGUCAUUACAGUUUUUUUUUUUUUUAAAUUGUGGGAAUAGCUAGUGUAUCAUAUUUUUAUAUAAGAAAACUAAGAUAGAAAUCAGUGACUUAGCUUUAAACUGAUUUGUGUGUUUUAAUUUCUCAUUUUCUUGAGCAAUUGUGAGUUAUACAUUAUGCAUAUCAGUCAGUAGCUUAUUUCAUUCUUGUGAUAUCGUAGAAUGUUUUAAUAAUAUGGAUAAGUUUAAUAAAAAGAAAUGUGCAUCUUAGGACAUUUCUUGUAAGAGUUUUAACUGAUGUUCUUCAACUACAAUUCAUGGGUAGAAGAGUCAUUUGUUUCAAUGUAAUUGGUUUAAUGUGUAUGAUAAAAAACUAAAGGAAUUAAAGAAGAUGAAUAUGGCAUUGUAUUUGUGGAGGUGGGAUCUAACCUCCGGAGUGGUAUUUGUGCUAGUCAAAGCAUGCCACCACUUUCAAACAUUAGGAAAAUAGAUUCUACCAUGUCUGUUCAAGGAAUGCAAGUUGAUAGUCCAUGUUCUCCAUCUACUGAUGAAGUUAUGCAGUACACCCAAACAUUUGAAGCAGGUAUGAUUUCUCAAAGUUAUCGUGUUAUUAAUUUGUACAACUAAAUUUUCCUCUAACAUUCCAUAACCUGGUGCACAAAUUGUCCUCUAAAUUUUCAUAACCAGUGCACUUUUGUCUUGGAUUAAUAUUUUCGUGUAGAAGUAACAGAGUACUCAAGUGAUCCAUACCAUUGUAGUUUUCUGGUACAGUUCCUCACUUGAUAUUAUACUCUAUUAUAUCUUAAUGGUAUGGUUUCAUUUGGGAUACAGUGUAACUUUUUGAAAGAUGGACAUUUAUAUAUAUUGCAUUUAUAGGUCAGUUUUGGUACAUGUAAAGGAUGUUGCUGCUGCAGUUUAGGUGAGAAUGCAGUGUUUGUUUUUAAUAGAUGUUCAUUUUUGUCGAGUCUGAAAUACUAUUAAGCUUUGGUCCAUGUUUAGGUACCCAAAUCACUGCUAUUUUGGGCAUAUUCUGCUGGAGUUAUGAUGCUAUUUUGGUCCAUGAAUUGGUGCAGUUUUAAUUAUAUAAUAAGGUGCAAUUUUGCUGAUGCUUGGUUCUGCAAGUUCGUGCAUUUUUUUUUUGGGAUGACUCUAACAGGAUGGAGUUGUUUUCUAGACACAGAUCUCUAAUACUAGGAUAGACUAUUUCUGCACAGAGGUUUAGCUCCUUAUGAUGUUCUAUUAUUUCAGUAGUAUCAUUCUGAUGGUUCUUAGAAGGCAUUUGGACAACAUUUGGUUAAAGUUGAAUAUGUCAGUUACUGCAGGAUUAUAAGCAGAUAUGGUUUUGAAGUGAUGUGAAAUUUCGUUACUAGAUUUUAUGUGGAACUAGUAAGAACUCACAGUUUCCACAUACUUCGUACUUUUAAAGAAAGAAGGAAAACACCAACUCUAAUUUAAUAGCAUAUUGGAUGUCAACCUAUGUUUUAUUUGUUGUAGGAUAAAUUUGAGAGUGAUGACAUGAAUAUUCAUCGCGAUCAUAUUUUGGGAUGGAUGAAAGAAUUAUGGAACAAAUGGAGAGGAAAAUUACACGAAAAGUACGUGAAGGGCUAAGAGAGAUUAUUUAUCAAAUAGAGCUAAGUUGAAGAUGCUUCAUCAUAAUGAUAGCAAGGCCAUUAGAGAGAUUAUUUAUCAAAAGGUGUUAUCAUUAAUCAUAAUUUUUUGUAAUAUUGAUGAGCCAUCAUUUGACAUGUUUACUUUUAUGUAAAGGGUGGAAAAGAUGGAAACCCACCAGAUUUGGGAACUAUUUUCUUUGAGACUCGCAAGAAGAAUAACUCACUUGUCGAUUCAGAAUCAAUCGUGAAACAUGUGUGUUUAGUUAAUUGAACAUGUACUUUACUUUUGGCUAUCAUAGGUUUUAACAGAAGUCAUUCUAUAUACUUUAUAGGCUUAAAUUCAAGAAUUGGCGCAGUCCGAACCGUCUCUUCCUAGCAUAGAGGUGGUAGAAAAAUGCUUUGGACCUCAAACUCGUAGCCAUGUAAUUGGCUUUGGAGGUGGAGUAAAGGCGAAAGAUUUGAAAGGUUGGACUUCUUCAAAGGCUGAGUUGUUGUCUGAGCUACGUUCAACUCAAGAAGAAAAUCAAUCUUUGAAAGAUCGCUUGUCUAACUUUGAAAAUGAGAUGAAAGAACUGAAGCAAUUAAAAGAGUUGUUAUUAGCUCAACAUCGCAAUUUCCAAGUCAGCAGACAGGUGGACUUGAUCCUUAGGAGCUCUGCCAGCAGUACUCUACAGCGCUCCAGUCGUUCCGGAGCCUUAUUUCAGUGUUGCUACAUUCUUUUAUGAAUGUAGAGUACCAGAAUAGAUCUACUUCUACCCCUCGUGGUUGAUAUUCGAGGAUUGCUGAUUGGAGUCUCUUCAGGGUAAGCAUGAGGACGUUCGUUACCUAAAUACUCUUCCUAUUAUUAUGUCUUUCUUUCCAUUCUGAGACAUGAUUUUGAGACUAUUAUGUAUUAUUAUUCAGACUUGUAGUAAUUAGUUUAGAUGCUCUUGUAUGACCAGACUAGCGACUGGGGCGGAUUUCUUUUACUUCCACACUUAUUUAUAUUACAUUUGUGAGACUUACGUUGUU